rnacentral:rRNA from 1 species
UGCGAGCGUGACGGCGCGAGCAGGUGCGAAAGCAGGUCAUAGUGAUCCGGUGGUUCUGAAUGGAAGGGCCAUCGCUCAACGGAUAAAAGGUACUCCGGGGAUAACAGGCUGAUACCGCCCAAGAGUUCAUAUCGACGGCGGUGUUUGGCACCUCGAUGUCGGCUCAUCACAUCCUGGGGCUGAAGUAGGUCCCAAGGGUAUGGCUGUUCGCCAUUUAAAGUGGUACGCGAGCUGGGUUUAGAACGUCGUGAGACAGUUCGGUCCCUAUCUGCCGUGGGCGCUGGAGAAUUGAGGGGGGCUGCUCCUAGUACGAGAGGACCGGAGUGGACGCAUCACUGGUGUUCGGGUUGUCAUGCCAAUGGCACUGCCCGGUAGCUAAAUGCGGAAGAGAUAAGUGCUGAAAGCAUCUAAGCACGAAACUUGCCCCG